rnacentral:rRNA from 1 species
CCUACGGGGGGCAGCAGUGGGGUAUCUUGCACAAUGGGGGGAACCCUGAUGCAGCGACGCCGCGUGGGUGAAGAAGCGCCUCGGCGCGUAAAGCCCUGUCAGCAGGGACUCCCCUUCCUUUCCCUGCCGCCGCCGCCCCGGCUCCCUCCGUGCCCGCCGCCGCGGUCCUCCGUCGGGGGCCCGCGUUCUCCUUGUGUCCUGGUGGUACCGGGGGCGCCUCCGGCGCUGCACGCCAGUAGUGCCCUCCCGGGGCCCUACCCCGGGACUGCUCUUGGAACUGCGUGGCUGGAGUGCAGGAGGGGCAGGCGGAAUUCCUGGUGUAGCGGUGAAAUGCGUAGAUAUCAGGAGGAACACCGGGGGCGAAGGCGGCCUGCUGGACUGCAACUGACGUGGAGGCCCGAAAGCGUGGGGAGCAAACAGGAUGAGAGACCCCAGUAGUC